GGGGAGGGGGCUCAGUGGCAGAGCACAUGCUUAGCAUGCAUGAGGCCCUGGGUUCCAUCCCCGGCACCCACA
rnacentral:tRNA from 1 species